rnacentral:rRNA from 1 species
GACGAACCGUGCGAACGUUGUUCGAAUCAUCUGGGCUUAAAGGGCGCGUAGGCGGCAUGGCAAGUCCGGGGUGAAAGCCCCCAGCUCAACGUGGGAAGUGCCUUGGAAACUGCUCGUGCUGGAGGGAGGUAGGGGUCGAGGAACUUCUGGUGGAGCGGUGAAAUGCGUUGAUAUCAGAAGAACGCCGGUGGCGAAAGCGCUCGACUGGACCUUUUCUGACGCUGAGGCGGCGAAAGCUAGGGGAGCCAAACGGG